rnacentral:siRNA from 1 species
GAAUGACUGGAACUAGCAAGAAA